ensembl:misc_RNA 7SK 7SK RNA
GAACGUGAGGGCUGUCUGGGUGUGACAUUGUCACCUUAUUGAUUGCCAGGGUUGAUUUGGCUGACUUGCCGGCUGAGUGUUCCUUUCCUCCUUCACCCCUCCAUGUGCAUCCCUUCUGAGGCUGUGAGCUCAGUUAAGGAGAAUGAGCACCCAAUAGAGGAGGGCUGUGUCCCCCAGCUAGAACCCCCAAACAAGGUCUCAAGAUACCAAUAUCCCCUGUGUCCCUGGGCCUGUGAGACUGUCGUCUUCACACAUUUUGCCCUUUUCCUCUUUCUGCAGCAAAGCUGUUGAGAGCCUGG